rnacentral:rRNA from 1 species
UACGUAGGGCGCAAGCGUUGUCCGGAAUUAUUGGGCGUAAAGAGCUCGUAGGCGGUUUGUCGCGUCUGCUGUGAAAACCUAAGGCUCAACCUUGGGCUUGCAGUGGGUACGGGGCAGACUAGAGUGCGGUAGGGGGUGACUGGAAUUCCUGGUGUAGCGGUGGAAUGCGCAGAUAUCAGGAGGAACACCGAUGGCGAAGGCAGGUCACUGGGCCGCAACUGACGCUGAGGAGCGAAAGCAUGGGGGAGCGAACAGG